GGGCCCACUGACAUUGUAAUCACGGCUACCGUUCCCAAAACAGUUUUAUGAAAUGCCCAAAGGUCCCUGUUCUCGUCAUAUUCUUGAAUGGUGUUGCCUCGUGAAUGUUAUUGCAACAUUUAAUCUUUUUCACACACAACAAAUUCACAUACUGAAGCUAUAUUUCUUUAUUUAGUUCAUCAGAUGUGCCAUUUUCUUUUUGCAGUAUGGCUUGAACCAGAGCAAGUCCUCAUACAAUGGCAUAGAACCAAAAGACGUCAAUGUCGGCAAAUUGCAACAGUGACAGUGGAAGGCGAUGCUUCCUCUUGUAAGCAUGGAAUGC
rnacentral:lncRNA from 1 species